UACGUAGGGGGCAAGCGUUGUCCGGAAUUAUUGGGCGUAAAGCGCGCGCAGGCGGUCUUUUAAGUCUGGUGUUUAAGUGCGGGGCUCAACCCCGUGACGCACUGGAAACUGGGAGACUUGAGUGCAGAAGAGGAGAGCGGAAUUCCACGUGUAGCGGUGAAAUGCGUAGAGAUGUGGAGGAACACCAGUGGCGAAGGCGGCUCUCUGGGCCUUACCUGACACUGAGGAGCGAAAGCGUGGGGAGCGAACAGG
rnacentral:rRNA from 1 species